rnacentral:rRNA from 1 species
UUAAGCGACUAAGCGUACACGGUGGAUGCCCUGGCAGUCAGAGGCGAUGAAGGACGUGCUAAUCUGCGAAAAGCGUCGGUAAGGUGAUAUGAACCGUUAUAACCGGCGAUGUCCGAAUGGGGAAACCCAGUGCAAUUCGUUGCACUAUCGUUAACUGAAUACAUAGGUUAACGAGGCGAACCGGGGGAACUGAAACAUCUAAGUACCCCGAGGAAAAGAAAUCAACCGAGAUUCCCCCAGUAGCGGCGAGCGAACGGGGAGCAGCCCAGAGUCUGAAUCAGCUUGUGUGUUAGUGGAACGGUCUGGAAAGUCCGACGGUACAGGGUGAUAGUCCCGUACACCAAAAUGCACAGGCUGUGAACUCGAAGAGUAGGGCGGGACACGUGGUAUCCUGUCUGAAUAUGGGGGGACCAUCCUCCAAGGCUAAAUACUCCUGACUGACCGAUAGUGAACCAGUACCGUGAGGGAAAGGCGAAAAGAACCCCGGCGAGGGGAGUGAAAAAGAACCUGAAACCGUGUACGUACAAGCAGUGGGAGCACCUUCGGGUGUGACUGCGUACCUUUUGUAUAAUGGGUCAGCGACUUAUAUUCUGUAGCAAGGUUAACCGUAUAGGGGAGCCGCAGGGAAACCGAGUCUUAACUGGGCGUUAAGUUGCAGGGUAUAGACCCGAAACCCGGUGAUCUAGCCAUGGGCAGGUUGAAGGUUGGGUAACACUAACUGGAGGACCGAACCGACUAAUGUUGAAAAAUUAGCGGAUGACUUGUGGCUGGGGGUGAAAGGCCAAUCAAACCGGGAGAUAGCUGGUUCUCCCCGAAAGCUAUUUAGGUAGCGCCUCGUGAAUUCAUCUUCGGGGGUAGAGCACUGUUUCGGCUAGGGGGUCAUCCCGACUUACCAACCCGAUGCAAACUACGAAUACCGAAGAAUGUUAUCACGGGAGACACACGGCGGGUGCUAACGUCCGUCGUGAAGAGGGAAACAACCCAGACCGCCAGCUAAGGUCCCAAAGUCAUGGUUAAGUGGGAAACGAUGUGGGAAGGCACAGACAGCCAGGAUGUUGGCUUAGAAGCAGCCAUCAUUUAAAGAAAGCGUAAUAGCUCACUGGUCGAGUCGGCCUGCGCGGAAGAUGUAACGGGGCUAAACCAUGCACCGAAGCUGCGGCAGCGACACUAUGUGUUGUUGGGUAGGGGAGCGUUCUGUAAGCCUGCGAAGGUGUGCUGUGAGGCAUGCUGGAGGUAUCAGAAGUGCGAAUGCUGACAUAAGUAACGAUAAAGCGGGUGAAAAGCCCGCUCGCCGGAAGACCAAGGGUUCCUGUCCAACGUUAAUCGGGGCAGGGUGAGUCGACCCCUAAGGCGAGGCCGAAAGGCGUAGUCGAUGGGAAACAGGUUAAUAUUCCUGUACUUGGUGUUACUGCGAAGGGGGGACGGAGAAGGCUAUGUUAGCCGGGCGACGGUUGUCCCGGUUUAAGCAUGUAGGCUGAUUGUCCAGGCAAAUCCGGAUAAUCAAGGCUGAGGUGUGAUGACGAGGCACUACGGUGCUGAAGUAACAAAUGCCCUGCUUCCAGGAAAAGCCUCUAAGCAUCAGGUAACAUCAAAUCGUACCCCAAACCGACACAGGUGGUCAGGUAGAGAAUACCAAGGCGCUUGAGAGAACUCGGGUGAAGGAACUAGGCAAAAUGGUGCCGUAACUUCGGGAGAAGGCACGCUGGUGUGUAGGUGAAGUCCCUGCGGAUGGAGCUGAGACCAGUCGAAGAUACCAGCUGGCUGCAACUGUUUAUUAAAAACACAGCACUGUGCAAACACGAAAGUGGACGUAUACGGUGUGACGCCUGCCCGGUGCCGGAAGGUUAAUUGAUGGGGUUAUCCGUAAGGAGAAGCUCUUGAUCGAAGCCCCGGUAAACGGCGGCCGUAACUAUAACGGUCCUAAGGUAGCGAAAUUCCUUGUCGGGUAAGUUCCGACCUGCACGAAUGGCGUAAUGAUGGCCAGGCUGUCUCCACCCGAGACUCAGUGAAAUUGAACUCGCUGUGAAGAUGCAGUGUACCCGCGGCAAGACGGAAAGACCCCGUGAACCUUUACUAUAGCUUGACACUGAACAUUGAGCCUUGAUGUGUAGGAUAGGUGGGAGGCUUUGAAGCGUGGACGCCAGUCUGCGUGGAGCCAACCUUGAAAUACCACCCUUUAAUGUUUGAUGUUCUAACGUUGGCCCCUGACCGGGGUUGCGGACAGUGUCUGGUGGGUAGUUUGACUGGGGCGGUCUCCUCCCAAAGCGUAACGGAGGAGCACGAAGGUUAGCUAAUCCUGGUCGGACAUCAGGAGGUUAGUGCAAUGGCAUAAGCUAGCUUGACUGCGAGCGUGACGGCGCGAGCAGGUGCGAAAGCAGGUCAUAGUGAUCCGGUGGUUCUGAAUGGAAGGGCCAUCGCUCAACGGAUAAAAGGUACUCCGGGGAUAACAGGCUGAUACCGCCCAAGAGUUCAUAUCGACGGCGGUGUUUGGCACCUCGAUGUCGGCUCAUCACAUCCUGGGGCUGAAGUAGGUCCCAAGGGUAUGGCUGUUCGCCAUUUAAAGUGGUACGCGAGCUGGGUUUAGAACGUCGUGAGACAGUUCGGUCCCUAUCUGCCGUGGGCGCUGGAGAAUUGAGGGGGGCUGCUCCUAGUACGAGAGGACCGGAGUGGACGCAUCACUGGUGUUCGGGUUGUCAUGCCAAUGGCACUGCCCGGUAGCUAAAUGCGGAAGAGAUAAGUGCUGAAAGCAUCUAAGCACGAAACUUGCCCCGAGAUGAGUUCUCCCUGAGACUUUAAGUCUCCUGAAGGAACGUUAAAGACGAUGACGUUGAUAGGCCGGGUGUGUAAGCGCAGCGAUGCGUUGAGCUAACCGGUACUAAUGAACCGUGAGGCUUAACCUU